UGGGGAAUAUUGGUCAAUGGGCGCAAGCCUGAACCAGCCAUCCCGCGUGCAGGAAGACGGCGCUAUGCGUUGUAAACUGCUUUUCCAGGGGGAGAAACUUGCGCACGUGUUGCGCAAUUGACGGUACCCUGGGAAUAAGCAUCGGCUAACUCCGUGCCAGCAGCCGCGGUAAUACGGAGGAUGCAAGCGUUAUCCGGAUUCAUUGGGUUUAAAGGGUGCGUAGGCGGACUAUUAAGUCAGUGGUGAAAUCCUGCAGCUUAACUGCAGAACUGCCAUUGAUACUGAUAGCCUUGAGUUUGGUAAGGUAGCGGAAUGUGUAAUGUAGCGGUGAAAUGCUUAGAUAUUACACAGAACACCAAUUGCGUAAGGCAGCUUACUGAGCCGACACUGACGCUGAGG
rnacentral:rRNA from 1 species